rfam:Acanthisitta chloris contig35481, whole genome shotgun sequence.
CCACUCUCAUGUCCUUAUCACUUUUCCAGCCCAGCUUCUUCACUAACUGUUGGACGGAGAACUGAUAAGGGUGUGCGAGUGA